rnacentral:rRNA from 1 species
UCGGGAAUUUUGGGCAAUGGGGGAAACCCUGACCCAGCAACGCCGCGUGAAGGAUGAAGUAUUUCGGUAUGUAAACUUCGAAAGAAUAGGAAGAAUAAAUGACGGUACUAUUUAUAAGGUCCGGCUAACUACGUGCCAGCAGCCGCGGUAAUACGUAGGGACCAAGCGUUGUUCGGAUUUACUGGGCGUAAAGGGCGCGUAGGCGGCAUGACAAGUCGCUUGUGAAAUCUCUGGGCUUAACCCAGAACGGCCAAGUGAUACUGUCGCGCUAGAGUGCAGAAGGGGCAAUCGGAAUUCUUGGUGUAGCGGUGAAAUGCGUAGAUAUCAAGAGGAACACCUGAGGUGAAGACGGGUUGCUGGGCUGACACUGACGCUGAGGAGCGAAAGCCAGGGGAGCAAACGGGAUUAGAUACCCAAGUAGUCCCUGAGCGGGCUGGCAAGGCGCAU